UCUCUGGUAGCCUAGCAGAUAAGGACUCAGUAUUGUCAGUGCUGUGGCUCAGGUUCGAUCCCUGGCCUGGGAA
rnacentral:tRNA from 1 species